rnacentral:rRNA from 1 species
CAGCAGCCACGGGAAUACGGAGGGUGCAAGCGUUAAUCGGAAUUACUGGGCGUAAAGCGCACGCAGGCGGUCUGUCAAGUCAGAUGUGAAAUCCCCGGGCUCAACCUGGGAACUGCAUCCAAAACUGGCAAGCUAGAGUAUGGUAGAGGGUGGUGGAAUUUCCUGUGUAGCGGUGAAAUGCGUAGAUAUAGGAAGGAACACCAGUGGCGAAGGCGACCACCUGGACUGAUACUGACACUGAGGUGCGAAAGCGUGGGGAGCAAACAGGAUUAGAUACCCCGGUAGUCCCUGUCUCUUAUAC